rnacentral:rRNA from 1 species
GACGAACGCUGGCGGCGUGCUUAACACAUGCAAGUCGAACGGAAAGGCCCUGCUUUUGUGGGGUGCUCGAGUGGCGAACGGGUGAGUAACACGUGAGUAACCUGCCCUUGACUUUGGGAUAACUUCAGGAAACUGGGGCUAAUACCGGAUAGGAGCUCCUGCUGCAUGGUGGGGGUUGGAAAGUUUCGGCGGUUGGGGAUGGACUCGCGGCUUAUCAGCUUGUUGGUGGGGUAGUGGCUUACCAAGGCUUUGACGGGUAGCCGGCCUGAGAGGGUGACCGGCGACAGUGGGACUGAGAUACGGCAGAGACGCCUACGGGAGGGAGCAGUGGGGAAGAUUGCAAAAUGGGCGGAAGCCUUAUGAAGCAACGCCGCGUGCGGGAUGACGGCCUUCGGGGUGUAAACCGAUUUCGCCUGUGACGAAGCGUGAGUGACGGUAAUGGGUAAAGAAGCACCGGCUAACUACGUG